rnacentral:rRNA from 1 species
UACGUAGGGGGCAAGCAUUGUCCGGAUUUAUUGGGCGUAAAGAGCGUGUAGGCGGUUAGGUAGGUCCGUUGUGAAAACUCGAGGCUCAACCUCGAGACGCCGAUGGAAACCAUCUGACUAGAGUCCGGAAGAGGAGAGUGGAAUUCCUGGUGUAGCGGUGAAAUGCGCAGAUAUCAGGAAGAACACCCGUGGCUAAGGCGGCUCUCUAGUACGUGACUGACGCUGAGACGCGAAGGCGUGGGGAGCGAACAGG